rnacentral:rRNA from 1 species
UACGUAGGUGGCAAGCGUUGUUCGGAAUUACUGGGCGUAAAGCGCGUGUAGGCGGCUCUUCAAGUCAGACGUGAAAGCCCCGGGCUUAACUCGGGAACUGCGUUUGAUACUGUCGAGCUAGAGUGUGGAAGGGGCGAUUGGAAUUCCGUGUGUAGCGGUGAAAUGCGUAGAUAUACGGAGGAAUACCGGUGGCGAAGGCGGCAUCCUGGACCGACAUUGACGCUGAGGAGCGAAAGCUAGGGGAGCAAACGGG